GUUUACGGCCAUGCCAUCCUGAACAAGCCCGAUCCCGUCUGAUCUUGGAAGCUAAGCAGGGUCGGGCCUGGUUAGUACUUGGAUGGGAGACCACCUAGGAAGACUAGGUGCUGUAGGCA
rnacentral:rRNA from 1 species